CUCUCUCUCUCAUCUCUACUAUACCCACGAAGCACGUAGAAAAGGGGAAAAGAAAAAAAUUACUCAAAAGUCCAAUAAACACCUAAACUUGAUAAAGCCUACUUUUAAAAAUGGCUUGAACUGAAAUGGACAGCCCACAAUUAUCCACCACAUACUAUUCUUUAAUAACAAGCACAUUAUCAAUACCAUCCAUAUAUUCUAAUAUCAGCCCAAUCCAUAACCCCAUACUAGUCCAUUUUAUAGCCUCCAAUUACUCCAGCCCAUAAUCUGAUAACCCAUUAAGUAGAAACUAACCUAGCCUACUAACCAAAUACUCAACCCACAAGAUGACCCUUAACCACCAUUAAAACAUAACUCAGCCCAAAAACCACAAUCCACAGACACUGCCUUUAACAGCCCACAUUAGUUCAAAGUAAAGCCAGCCCAAUUGCCAAAAAAUAUAUAUAAACACAAAAGCCCAUACCUAUUCGCUCAAUUAAAUCAACCCAGCCCAUCAACACCACCACACCGGUCCAAUCCAAUAUAUAUCGGCCCAAUUACACCAACAGCCCAAUAAACCACCAGAUACACGACCUAAAUGAAUCACCAGACCAAUAACCAAGAACAUAGAUCGCUGGCAACAAUAACUGAAAACACCAACUGAAAAUCGUGGACAACCAAGAACGCAGAUCACCGGCAGCAAGAACUAAAAAACACCGACAACCACCCAAUUUUUGACGCACCAGAAUCGUCGGCAACCCAGAAGUUAAUCAGAACGGAAUUGUCAGACAGCAAUUCCAGCAGAAUUCUGAACUGAAACGUUGCACAGAAUCGACCACACGACUAAGCCAAAGCCCAUUGUUUGAAUUGUUGCCUCUCUCUUUCUGUGAACUGGGUGCAUUAGCAAUAGUUUUGCUAUUUCUCGGAAGUGGGAUAGACAGAAGUGAACGGCCAGUCUCAACUCCCGAUGUGACUUCUGAUGACCGAGUUCUAAAGAAAACUUUGGAACAAGUGUUGUUUGAUAUUCUUGAUUUCUUUUUCUGUAUCCAUGUAUUCUUGUGUACUUUUCUGACAAUAAUCCCACGAAAAGAAAACUGGCGAGUCUAGGGUGCAGCAGGAGGCGACGGCUACGGGGGGACUAUAGAAGAACUUGCUAAGAUCUUGC
rnacentral:lncRNA from 1 species